rfam:Glycine soja cultivar W05 scaffold3186_2, whole genome shotgun sequence.
GUUCUGCAGUGAUAAUUUCAUAAAUAAAUUCAUAUGUCAUUUUCAAAUUAUUGAGAAUAAAAAUUCUGUUACUUAGCAGAAU